CACUAUAGUAAUAGAAUAUCAUUUACCUGGAUGAAACUUGGGUAAAAAAGAACCAUUCUACGAACUAUAUGUGGUUACCCACAGACCGACAGAGAGCCCCCGUGGUACCAUCUGGGAAGGGCAACCGAAUGAUUGUACUUCAUGCAGGGAGCCGGGACACAGGUUUGAUCGACGGUUGCGAGUUGGUCUUUGAGGCAAAGAAAUCAAGUGGAGGUUACCAUCAGGAGAUGAACGGAGAUGUCUUCAUGGAUUGGAUGGAACAUCAGCUUUUGCCC